AACAACCAUAGUUAGCUAACGAUGCUUUUGGGAAACGCACCCCUGUAGGUGUGUGUCACGUCAUUCGUGUAUGUCAUGAGCACAUGCACAAUUUGGUCAGAGCCUAUAUGAGAAAGAUCAUGUGACACUGAAGACUGGAGUAAAGGCUACUUACAAAUUCAGCUUUGAAUGAAAUUCAUUUUAAAGUGUAUUCAAAAAAAAGAGUAUGUUAACUGUUAUUUUAAAAUGUAAAAAUAUUUUACAAUAUUACUGUUUUGUACUGUAAUUUUGAUCAAAUAAAUAUAGCCUUGGUGAGCAGAAGAGACUUCUGUUGAAAAAAAAAAAAAAGAUUCCAGAUGUUUGAAUGGUUGUGUACAUACAUUAGCAGCAUUAACAAGAUGAUCCUCCCUUUCAGCUCAGAGAAGGAAAUUUACGGUGCAGGCUCAGGAUGAAGAAGAGGGGGAAGAACACGUUUGACAGUUUUCUCAUACCUUUGCCAUGUGUUAUAAUAAAAACAAUAAACCUGACUACAAUAAUAUGCUAUAUCUUAUUAAAAGAUUCCAGUUUGCAAGAAAUCUGGAGUGUCUGACUCUGCACUAGAGCAACUCUUUGCUGAAGAAGAUCAUGUGCUGAGGAGGAGUCUUGUUCUACAGCAAAACACUGCAUCAAGCCUCCAUGUGAAGUGAUAUCCUCCUGUCCUUCCCUCAGAAGAGCCGGUCUUCUGCUGCUGGGUUACAGGGACUGAUGAACACAGCCUUGUUCUCAUCCACUGAUGAAGCCUUCUUCACUGGAAAGCAUAAUGCUGCAAUCAAAGAGUUGAGCUUCUCCUUGAGGCGUCCUGCCAUAAACAUCAGCAACAGGUUGAAGGCAGUGGUAGAGAGUCAUGACCAUGGUAAGCAUAAAAAAACCAGCUCUCGGCAUAGUGUUCCAAUGGGUCAAGUUGUCACGGUAUGCCUAUUGUGUCAUGGCGAAAAAAAUAAAGAAAACAACGCAAAUUUAAUACAGAGCAUACUGUAUACUAAUACUAUGUUUUGUUUCUAUAGAUGCUGCAAUCUAAGGUGUCACUUCAGCGUGAAGCAGAGACUUGUGGAAAAGAAGACAUGCAGAACACACUUAAUUAGUUGUUUUACACACUGA
ensembl:lncRNA